rnacentral:rRNA from 1 species
GACGUAGGAUGCAAGCGUUGUCCGGAAUCAUUGGGCGUAAAGCGUUCGUAGGCGGCAUGUCAAGUCUGAUGUUAAAGCCCGGAGCUCAACUCCGGUUCGGCAUUGGAUACUGGCAAGCUAGAGUGCAAUAGAGGUAAGGGGAAUUCCUAGUGUAGCGGUGAAAUGCGUAGAUAUUAGGAGGAACACCGGUGGCGAAAGCGCCUUACUGGGUUGUAACUGACGCUGAGGAACGAAAGCCAGGGUAGCAAAUGGG